UACGUAGGGUGCGAGCGUUGUCCGGAAUUAUUGGGCGUAAAGAGCUCGUAGGCGGUCUGUCGCGUCGGCUGUGAAAACCCGGGGCUCAACCCCGGGCCUGCAGUCGAUACGGGCAGACUAGAGUGUGGUAGGGGAGACUGGAAUUCCUGGUGUAGCGGUGAAAUGCGCAGAUAUCAGGAGGAACACCGGUGGCGAAGGCGGGUCUCUGGGCCAUAACUGACGCUGAGGAGCGAAAGCGUGGGGAGCGAACAGG
rnacentral:rRNA from 1 species